UGUGUUUCGACCUUGGCGAUCUCAUCAUUUCGAGCGCGGAGUAUUUGCGCUGCACGCAGGAGUACCCUGGUUCUUAAAGCAGGCGGAGUCUGGGACCAGGAAGGGAAAGCCCUUCUGGCUGAAUCGAUGGCCGCAUCGAUGUCCCUAUUUGACGAAACUUCCACAUCUGCGAGAACUGAGGCGUUGGAGGGGUCAAUGGACUGGAAAUGCUUGCCAGAGCUUGACUGCUGGACUUUUCCGUCGAAGUAUAGACGUUGUGAAGUGUAGUGAGAGGAGGACAUCUUUUCAGAGGGGACUCCUAACACAGGUCGCUCUGAGAUUCUAAAAGUCGUGAUAGUCACGUGAAAUGACGUAGACGAUUGUGCUUUUGGAGGGGGAAUCGGAUGCCAUCUGUGUGUGACAGGACAGUGUUUGGGGA
rnacentral:sRNA from 1 species